rnacentral:rRNA from 1 species
UACGUAGGUGGCAAGCGUUGUCCGGAUUUAUUGGGCGUAAAGGGAGCGCAGGUGGUUUCUUAAGUCUGAUGUGAAAGCCCACGGCUCAACCGUGGAGGGUCAUUGGAAACUGGGGAACUUGAGUGCAGAAGAGGAAAGUGGAAUUCCAAGUGUAGCGGUGGAAUGCGUAGAUAUUUGGAGGAACACCAGUGGCGAAGGCGACUUUCUGGUCUGUAACUGACACUGAGGCUCGAAAGCGUGGGGAGGCAAACAGGAUUAGAUACCCUCGUAGUCCCUGA